rnacentral:rRNA from 1 species
CUAUACAUGCAGUUGAACGCAACAAAGACACCAGAGCUUGCUCUACCGUCUUUGUUGAGUAGCGAACGGGUGAGUAACGCGUGGGUAACCUGCCUUAUAGCGGGGGAUAACUAUUGGAAACGAUAGCUAAUACCGCAUAACAAUAGAGAUUGCAUAAUCUUUAUUUGAAAGUGCCAACUGGUACACUAUGAGAUGGACCCGCGUUGUAUUAGCUAGUUGGUAGUGUAAUGGACUACCAAGGCGAUGAUACAUAGCCGACCUGAGAGGGUGAUCGGCCACAUUGGGACUGAGACACGGCCCAAACUCCUACGGGAGGCAGCAGUAGGGAAUCUUCGGCAAUGGACGAAAGUCUGACCGAGCAACGCCGCGUGAGUGAAGAAGGUUUUCGGAUCGUAAAACUCUGUUGUUAGAGAAGAAUGUUGAUUAGAGUGGAAAAUUAAUCAAGUGACGGUAUCUAACCAGAAAGGGACGGCUAACUACGUGCCAGCAGCCGCGGUAAUACGUAGGUCCCGAGCGUUGUCCGGAUUUAUUGGGCGUAAAGCGAGCGCAGGUGGUUUAAUAAGUCUGAUGUAAAAGGCAGUGGCUCAACCAUUGUGUGCAUUGGAAACUGUUAGACUUGAGUGCAGUAGAGGAGAGUGGAAUUCCAUGUGUAGCGGUGAAAUGCGUAGAUAUAUGGAGGAACACCGGUGGCGAAAGCGGCUCUCUGGACUGUCACUGACACUGAGGCUCGAAAGCGUGGGUAGCAAACAGGAUUAGAUACCCUGGUAGUCCACGCCGUAAACGAUGAGUGCUAGUUGUUUGGGGCUAUCCAGCCCUAAGUGACGCAGCAAACGCAUUAAGCACUCCGCCUGGGGAGUACGACCGCAGGUGAAACUCAAGGAAUGACGGGGGCCCGCACAAGCGUGGAGCAUGUGGUUUAAUCGAAGCAACCGCGAGAACCUUACCAGUC